UACGGAAGGCAGCAGUGGGGAAUAUUGCACAAUGGGCGAAAGCCUGAUGCAGCUAUGCCGCGUGUAUGAAGAAGGCCUUAGGGUUGUAAAGUACUUUCAUCGGGGAGGAAAAACAAAACUAAUAAUUUUAUUUCUUGACGUUACCCGAAAAAGAAGCACCGGCUAACUCCGUGCCAGCAGCCGCGGUAAUACGGAGGGUGCUAGCGUUAAUCAGAAUUACUGGGCGUAAAGAGCACGUAGGUGGUUUUUUUAAGUCAGAUGUGAAAUCCCUGGGCUUAACCUGGAACUGCAUUUUGAAACUGAAAUACUAGAGUAUCGUAGAGGGAGGUAGAAUUCUAGGUGUAGCGGUGAAAUGCGUAGAUAUCUGGAGGAAUACCUGUGGCGAAAGCGGCCUCCUAAACGAAUACUGACACUGAGGUGCGAAAGCGUGGGGAGCAAACAGGGGUUAGAUACC
rnacentral:rRNA from 1 species